rnacentral:tRNA from 1 species
CACCGUGUGGUGUAGCAGCAACAUUCCCGGCUUGGGACCGGGCGAGCGCGGGUGCAGAUCCCGCCGCGGUGACCA